rnacentral:siRNA from 1 species
GACAAGAUAACCUGCCAUGUGUA